rnacentral:lncRNA from 1 species
UCUCCUUAGUCCAACAAACAUCUAAUCGGAUCGGCUCCUCAUUAGUCACAAUAGUACACUCCAAUGUUGGCAACUCAUCCUUGCACCUUACAUUGAGCUGUUUCUCCUCCCUAUUCAACUGCCUCUUAGUCUUCUCAAUCGCCAUUAUAUUCUAACAUAAGCAAGCACUUACAACUAAUCUCUCAAAACACACAUACACGGCUCCUUACACAAAAGAAAACAUGAUGCUUGUCAAGAGCCCCCUUCCUGCUUCUUACUAUGGUCCAAUCAAUUGGAUGGACUCCCCUUUAUUUUCCACGAUUUGUUACGAUGAAAUAUCCUACUAACUAGGUCUGACAACCAGUCUUUACUACCGCCAUUACUAAUCCCAUCCAUAUUCCUCACACUUCUUAUCACAUUACAUUUACUACUCUAUCAUCAUCAUUAUUUAUCCCCCC